CAUACCGCCAUCAGUGAUGUCCUGACGGAGCAGUGACACCUCCGCGCCCUGACGGAAUAGGGCGUUGAAGGGCGUAGGCUAUGAUGAUGCCAGGCAAAUCCGGCAUCAGAGCUGAAACCUGAAAGUACGGGGUCCCCUUCGGGGGAACCUGAGAGCGAGGGUAACCAUACUCCCGAGAAAAUGGGCUAAACUCAUGUUGGCGGUACCCGUACCGCAAACCGACACAGGUAGUUGGGUAGAACAUACUAAGGCGUUGAGAGAUUCAUGGCUAAGGAACUAGGCAAACUGACCCCGUAACUUCGGGAUAAGGGGUCCUCACCUCCGGGUGAGGCGCAGAGAAUAGGUCCAGGCAACUGUUUAACAAAAACACAGGGCUGUGCGAACUCGAAAGAUGAAGUAUACAGCCUGACACCUGCCCGGUGCCGGAAGGUUAAGAGGAGAUGUCACCGCAAGGGAAGCAUUGAAUUGAAGCCCCGGUAAACGGCGGCCGUAACGAUAACGGUCCUAAGGUAGCGAAAUUCCUUGUCGGGUAAGUUCCGACCUGCACGAAUGGUGUAAUGAUCCGGACGCUGUCUCGGCCAUGAGCUCAGUGAAAUUGUAGUAUCGGUGAAGAUGCCGAUUACCCGUGAUGGGACGAAAAGACCCCGUGAACCUUUACUACAGCUUAGCAUUGACCUUGGUCAUCCGAUGUGUAGGAUAGGCCGGAGGCUUCGAAGCGGCGUCGCCAGGCGUUGUGGAGCCAUCCUUGAAAUACGGCCCUUUGGCUGUCUGAGGUCUAACGCGGAUAGUCGCGGACACUGCUUGGUGGGUAGUUUGACUGGGGUGGUCGCCUCCAAAAGCGUAACGGAGGCUUCCAAAGGUGCCCUCGGGCCGUUUGGUAAGCGGCCUUCAAGAGUGCAAUGGCAAAAGGGCGCUUGACUGGGAGGGAGACAUCCCGAGCAGGCAGGAAACUGGGGCAUAGUGAUCCGGCGGAUGUGUAUGGAAACUCCGUCGCUCAAAGGAUAAAAGGUACUCCGGGGAUAACAGGCUGAUCCCCCCCAAGAGCUCAUAUCGACGGGGUGGUUUGGCACCUCGAUGUCGGCUCGUCACAUCCUGGGGCUGGAGAAGGUCCCAAGGGUUGGGCUGUUCGCCCAUUAAAGUGGCACGCGAGCUGGGUUCAGAACGUCGUGAGACAGUUCGGUCUCUAUCUAUCGUGGGCGCAGGAGUUUUGAGUGGUGCUGUCACUAGUACGAGAGGACCGUGACGGACAGACCUCCGGUGUACCGGUUGUGCCGCCAGGCGCACCGCCGGGUAUCCGCGUCUGGAUCGGAUAAGCGCUGAAAGCAUCUAAGUGCGAAGCUUUCCACGAGAUUAGAACUCCAUUGAGGGUCGUCGCAGACGACGACGUUGAUAGGGCGCAGGUGUAAAGACGGCGACGUCAAAGCCGAGCGCUACUAAUUGCCC
rnacentral:rRNA from 1 species